rnacentral:rRNA from 1 species
UACGGAGGAUCCAAGCGUUAUCCGGAUUUAUUGGGUUUAAAGGGUGCGUAGGCGGCCAAUUAAGUCAGGGGUGAAAGACGGUAGCUUAACUAUCGCAGUGCCUUUGAUACUGAUUGGCUUGAAUACACUAGAGGUAGGCGGAAUGUGACAAGUAGCGGUGAAAUGCAUAGAUAUGUCACAGAACACCAAUUGCGAAGGCAGCUUACUAUGGUGCAAUUGACGCUGAGGCACGAAAGCGUGGGGAUCAAACAGG